rnacentral:rRNA from 1 species
AUUGAACGCUGGCGGCAGGCCUAACACAUGCAAGUCGAACGAGUGGCGGACGGGUGAGUAAUGUCUGGGAAACUGCCCGAUGGAGGGGGUUAACUACUGGAAACGGUAGCUAAUACCGCAUACCAUCGGAUGUACCCAUAUGGGAUUAGCUAGUAGGUGGGGUAACGGCUCACCUAGGCGACGAUCCCUAGCUGGUCUGAGAGGAUGACCAGCAACACGGGGACGGAGACACGGCCCAGACUCCUACGGGAGGCGGCAGUGGGGAAUAUUGCACAAUGGGCGCAAGCCUGAUGCAGCAAUGCCGCGGUGAUGAAGAAGGCCUUCGGGUUGUAAAGUACUUUGAGCGAGGAGGCGUUACCCGCAGAAGAAGCACCGGCUAACUCCGUGCCAGCAGCCGCGGUAAUAC